rnacentral:rRNA from 1 species
GAUGAACGCUAGCGGCAGGCCUAAUACGUGCAAGUCGAGCGGUGGUAGCAAUACCAUAGCGGCAAACGGGUGCGUAACACGUACACAACAUACCUUCAAGAGGAGGAUACACUUGGGAAACUGAGGACAAUACUCCAUAGCAUAACAACUUGGCAUCAAGGAGUUAUUAAAGCUACGGCGCUUGAAGAUUGGUGUGCGUCCUAUUAGCUAGUUGGUAGGGUAACGGCCUACCAAGGCUACGAUAGGUAGGGGAUGUGAGAGCAUGGUCCCCCACACGGGCACUGAGACACGGGCCCGACUCCUACGGGAGGCAGCAGUAAGGAAUAUUGGUCAAUGGAGGGAACUCUGAACCAGCCAUGCCGCGUGCAGGAAGAAGGUCCUCUGGAUUGUAAACUGCUUUUAUAAGAGACGAAAAAGACGNGAUUUAUCUUGUGUUGACGGUAUCUUGUGAAUAAGCACCGGCUAACUCCGUGCCAGCAGCCGCGGUAAUG